GCUGGCGGCGUGCUUAACACAUGCAAGUCGAACGGUAACAGAAGCAGCUUGCUGCUUGCUGACGAGUGGCGCACGGGUGAGUAAUAUAUAGAUAAUGUGCCUCUUAGUCUGGGAUAGCCAUUGGAAACGAUGAUUAAUACUAGAUACUCCUUCUAACUCUAAUGUUAGUUGGGAAAGUUUUUCGCUAAGAGAUCAGUCUAUAUCCCAUCAGUUAGUUGGUAGGGUAAUGGCCUACCAAGGCGAUGACGGGUAGCGGGUUUGAGAGGAUGAUCCGCCACACUGGUACUGAGACACGGACCAGACUCCUACGGGAGGCAGCAGUGAGGAAUAUUGCACAAUGGGGGAAACCCUGAUGCAGCAACGCCGCGUGGAGGAUGACGCAUUUCGGUGUGUAAACUCCUUUUAUAUGUCAAGAAAAUGACGGUAGCAUAUGAAUAAGCACCGGCUAACUCCGUGCCAGCAGCCGCGGUAAUACGGAGGGUGCAAGCGUUAUUCGGAAUCACUGGGCGUAAAGGACGCGUAGGCGGGUUGCCAAGUCUGAUGUGAAAUCCUAUGGCUUAACCAUAGAACUGCAUUGGAAACUGGUAACCUAGAGUAUGGGAGG
rnacentral:rRNA from 1 species